UACGUAGGUGGCGAGCGUUGUCCGGAUUUACUGGGCGUAAAGAGCGCGCAGGCGGUCGUUCAAGUCGAGUGUGAAAGCCCCCGGCUCAACUGGGGAGGGUCACUCGAUACUGAUCGACUCGAAGGCAGGAGAGGGAAGUGGAAUUCCCGGUGUAGUGGUGAGAUGCGUAGAUAUCGGGAGGAACACCAGUGGCGAAGGCGACUUCCUGGCCUGUUCUUGACGCUGAGGCGCGAAAGCUAGGGGAGCAAACGGG
rnacentral:rRNA from 1 species